GUGGGGAAUUUUGGACAAUGGGGGCAACCCUGAUCCAGCCAUUUCGCGUGUGCGAUGAAGGCCUUCGGGUUGUAAAGCACUUUUGGCAGGGAAGAAAAGGUUUGGGCUAAUACCCUGAGCCGCUGACGGUACCUGCAGAAUAAGCACCGGCUAACUACGUGCCAGCAGCCGCGGUAAUACGUAGGGUGCAAGCGUUAAUCGGAAUUACUGGGCGUAAAGCGUGCGCAGGCGGUUCGGAAAGAAAGAUGUGAAAUCCCAGGGCUUAACCUUGGAACUGCAUUUUUAACUACCGAGCUAGAGUGUGUCAGAGGGAGGUGGAAUUCCGCGUGUAGCAGUGAAAUGCGUAGAGAUGCGGAGGAACACCGAUGGCGAAGGCAGCCUCCUGGGAUAACACUGACGCUCAGGCACGAAAGCGUGGGGAGCAAACAGGAUUAGAUACCCCGGUAGUCC
rnacentral:rRNA from 1 species